AUUGAACGCUGGCGGCAUGCCUUACACAUGCAAGUCGAACGGCAGCACGGGAGCAAUCCUGGUGGCGAGUGGCGAACGGGUGAGUAAUGUAUCGGAACGUGUCCAGUCGUGGGGGAUAACGUAGCGAAAGCUACGCUAAUACCGCAUACGAUCUAUGGAUGAAAGCGGGGGAUCGCAAGACCUCGCGCGAUUGGAGCGGCCGAUAUCAGAUUAGGUAGUUGGUGGGGUAAAGGCCCACCAAGCCUGCGAUCUGUAGCUGGUCUGAGAGGACGACCAGCCACACUGGAACUGAGAGACGGUCCAGACUCCUACGGGAGGCAGCAGUGGGGAAUUUUGGACAAUGGGCGCAAGCCUGAUCCAGCAAUGCCGCGUGCAGGAUGAAGGCCUUCGGGUUGUAAACUGCUUUUGUACGGAACGAAACGGCUUUUUCUAAUACAGAGAGCUAAUGACGGUACCGUAAGAAUAAGCACGGGCUAACUACGUGCCAGCCGCCGCCGUAA
rnacentral:rRNA from 1 species